UGGGGAAUAUUGCACAAUGGGCGCAAGCCUGAUGCAGCCAUGCCGCGUGUAUGAAGAAGGCCUUCGGGUUGUAAAGUACUUUCAGCGGGGAGGAAGGUGUUGUGGUUAAUAACCACAGCAAUUGACGUUACCCGCAGAAGAAGCACCGGCUAACUCCGUGCCAGCAGCCGCGGUAAUACGGAGGGUGCAAGCGUUAAUCGGAAUUACUGGGCGUAAAGCGCACGCAGGCGGUCUGUCAAGUCGGAUGGGAAAUCCCCGGGCUCAACCUGGGAACUGCAUCCGAAACUGGCAGGCUUGAGUCUUGUAGAGGGGGGUAGAAUUCCAGGUGUAGCGGUGAAAUGCGUAGAGAUCUGGAGGAAUACCGGUGGCGAAGGCGGCCCCCUGGACAAAGACUGACGCUCAGGUGCGAAAGCGUGGGGAGCAAACA
rnacentral:rRNA from 1 species